UUAAAAUACAGAAUGAAUGCCUAGGUAUAUAAAGUAAAAAGGGCGUUAAGCGGAACGAAACGCUGUAGGUAGGGCCGUUAUACCUGUGAUCUACAGAUCCCCUAUGGGAAAACUCCAAAGACUAAUAAAACGCGCUGAAUUGAAACAUCUUAGUAGGCGUGUGGAAGACAUCAACCGAGAGUCCGUUAGUUGUGGCGAGCGAACGCGGAUUAGGCCAAAAAAAGGUAUUAGGCUUCUUACAGACUCAAGCAUUUGGGAAAAUGCGCCGUAGAAGGUGAUAGUCCUGUCGGUGUGUAAAGAAGGUAAAAGCUAAGCCUUUUGUAUUAUGAGUAAGCCGGGGUGCCUACCCUGGUUGAAGAUAGGGGGACCACCCUCUAAGCCUAAUAACUUUAUAUAACCGAUAGUGUACAAGUACCGUGAGGGAAAGGUGAAAAGAACCCAUUGCUGGGAGUGAAAUAGACCCUAAAAUUCUGUAUGUACAAGCAGUCGGAGUCAAAAAGACAACGGCGUACUUCUUGCAUAACGGGCCAGCGAGUAUAUUUAGUUAGCGAAGCUUAAGCAUUUAUGUGUAGGCGUAGGGAAACCGAGGCUGUAUAGGCCGUUUAAGUUAACUGUAUAUGACCCGAAACCGGGUGAUCUAGUUAUGAGCAGGCUGAAGAAAGGGUCAGACCUUUUGGAGGGCCGAACUUGUGGAUGUUGCAAAAUCCUAAGAUGACUUGUGAUUAGGGGUGAAAGGCCAAUCAAACCCGGAGUUAGCUGGUUUUCCGCGAAAUCUAUUGAGGUAGAGCGUGCAGUUUCUAUAAGUACGGGGUAGAGCACUGUUUAGGUCUGGGGGACCAAAAAAUCUUACCAUGCUUAGGCAAACUCCGAAUACGUAACUUAUAAUCUGUGCAGACAGACGUACGGCGCUAAGGUCGUAUGUCGAGAGGGAAACAGCCCAGACCGUCUGAUAAGGUCCCUAAGCAAUUGCUGAGUGGUUAAGGAAGUUUAAUAGCGUAUACAACCAGUAGGUGGGCUUAGAAGCAGCCAUCCUUGUAAAGAAAGCGUAAUAGCUCACUGGUCUAGCUAGGAAGCGCCAUUGAUGUAACGGGGCUUAAGCAAUUCACCGAAUCAACGGAAUAUAUUUAUAUAUUGGUAGCGGAACGUUCUGUAUGUAGAUGAAGAUUUGUUGUAAAAUAAAUUGGAUAUAUCAGAAGUGAGAAUGCUGGCAUAAGUAACGUUUAAUCCUGUUAAAGUCAGGAUCGCCGAAAAUCCAAGGGUUUCUGCGGACCGUCUGUCGGCGCAGAGUUAUACGGCCCCUAAGUUGAAAAAACGAUGGGUGUAUGAUGAUCAACAUUUAAAAUUUCAUAGAUAAUGCAUAAACAUUAAAUUUAGAGUUUAGUAUAGGAUUGGAAGUCUAUAUGGUUCUAAUGAGUUGAUCCGUUGGAAUCAAAAGUUCUAAUUUAAUCUGGAAAAAAGUGCAUUGUUAAAUACCGUACCCAUAACCGACACUGGUGGAUAGGUAGAGCAUACUAAGGCGAGUGAGAGAACCAUGCUGAAGGAACUCGGCAAAUUACCUCCGUAACUUUGGGAAAUGGAGGGCCAAUUGAAAGAUUGGUGGCACAAAACAGAGGGUAGCGACUGUUUAAUAAAAACAUAGGACUCUGCUAAAUCGUGAAGAUGACGUAUAGGGUCUGACACCUGCCCGGUGCUGGAAGCUUAAGGGGAGAGGUGAAAGCUUCGAACUUAAGGCCCAGUAAACGGCGGCCGUAACUCUAACGGUCCUAAGGUAGCGAAAUUCCUUGCCCACUAAUUAUGGGCCUGCAUGAAUGGUGUAACGACUGCCCUACUGUCUCCAGCAUGGACUCAGUGAAAUUGAAUUCUCCGUGAAGAUGCGGAGUACUAAUGGUUAGACGGUAAGACCCUAUGCACCUUUACCGCAGCAUUGCAUUGGAUAACUCUUUAAAUUGUGUAGCAUAGGUGGGAGAGAGUUUCUCGUCAGUGAAAUACCACCCUGUUUCUAGAUUUAUCCUAACCCACGCGGGAACCGUGUAAUGUGGGUGGUUUGACUGGGAUGGUCGCCUGCUAAAGAGUAACGGAGGCGCACAAAGGUAGGCUCAUGCGGGACGGAAAUCCGUGGAAGAGCGUAAUGGCACAUGCCUGCCUGACUGUGAGACAGACAUGUCGAACAGGGACGCAAGUCGGUCAUAGUGAUCCGGGGGUUCUAUGUGGAUAGGCCCUCGCUCAACGGAUCAAAGGUACGCUAGGGAUAACAGGCUAAUGAUCUCCAAGAGCUCCUAUCGACGAGAUCGUUUGGCACCUCGAUGUCGUCUCAUCACAUCCUGGGGGUGAAGCAGCUCCCAAGGGUUCGGCUGUUCGCCGAUUAAAGUGGUACGUGAGAUGGGUUUAGAACGUCGUGAGACAGUUCGGUUCCUAUCUGCCAUUAGCGUUUAAAAUUGAGAGAAAAUGCCCUUAGUACGAGAGGACCGGGGCAUAUUAACCUCUGGUAUAUCGGUUGUUGCGCCAGCAGCACCGCCGAGUAGCUACGUUAAAUUGGAUAACCGCUGAAAGCAUAUAAGCGGGAAGCCUAUCUCGAGACAAAUUUUAGAGCAUGUAAAAGACUAAUACAUUGAUAGGCAAGGUGUGUAAGCAAAGUAAUUUGUGAGCAGACUUGUACUAA
rnacentral:rRNA from 1 species